rnacentral:rRNA from 1 species
AUGAACGCUGGCGGCGUGCCUAAUACAUGCAAGUCGAGCGAACAGACGAGGAGCUUGCUCCUCUGACGUUAGCGGCGGACGGGUGAGUAACACGUGGAUAACCUACCUAUAAGACUGGGAUAACUUCGGGAAACCGGAGCUAAUACCGGAUAAUAUAUUGAACCGCAUGGUUCAAUAGUGAAAGACGGUUUUGCUGUCACUUAUAGAUGGAUCCGCGCCGCAUUAGCUAGUUGGUAAGGUAACGGCUUACCAAGGCGACGAUGCGUAGCCGACCUGAGAGGGUGAUCGGCCACACUGGAACUGAGACACGGUCCAGACUCCUACGGGAGGCAGCAGUAGGGAAUCUUCCGCAAUGGGCGAAAGCCUGACGGAGCAACGCCGCGUGAGUGAUGAAGGUCUUCGGAUCGUAAAACUCUGUUAUUAGGGAAGAACAAAUGUGUAAGUAACUAUGCACGUCUUGACGGUACCUAAUCAGAAAGCCACGGGUAACUACGUG